rnacentral:rRNA from 1 species
UAGGGAAUCUUCGGCAAUGGACGAAAGUCUGACCGAGCAACGCCGCGUGAGUGAAGAAGGUUUUCGGAUCGUAAAACUCUGUUGUUAGAGAAGAACAAGGACGUUAGUAACUGAACGUCCCCUGACGGUAUCUAACCAGAAAGCCACGGCUAACUACGUGCCAGCAGCCGCGGUAAUACGUAGGUGGCAAGCGUUGUCCGGAUUUAUUGGGCGUAAAGCGAGCGCAGGCGGUUUCUUAAGUCUGAUGUGAAAGCCCCCGGCUCAACCGGGGAGGGUCAUUGGAAUCUAGGAGGCUUGAGUGCAGAAGGGGAAAGUGGAAUUCCAUGUGUAGCGGUAAAAUGCGUAGAUGUAUGGAGGAACACCAGUGACGAAGGCAGCUCUCUGGUCUGAAACUGACGCUGAGGCUCGAAAGCGUGGGGAGCAAACAGG